UACGGAGGGUGCGAGCGUUGUCCGGAAUCACUGGGCGUAAAGGGCGCGUAGGCGGCCCGGUAAGUAGGAGGUGAAAUCCUGAGGCUUAACCUCAGGGCUGCCUUCUAAACUGCCAGGCUUGAGCACAGUAGAGGCAGGUGGAAUUCCCGGUGUAGCGGUGGAAUGCGUAGAGAUCGGGAAGAACAUCGGUGGCGAAGGCGGCCUGCUGGGCUGUUGCUGACGCUGAGGCGCGACAGCGUGGGGAGCAAACAGG
rnacentral:rRNA from 1 species